UUGUAUGAUGAUCAAAUUUAGCUACUUAUUUUCUGACAUCUCUUAUGAAUAUCUCAUGAUUCAUAUUGCUAAUAUUAUCUACUGAACAA